rnacentral:rRNA from 1 species
AGAGCGAACGCUGGCGGCGUGCUUAACACAUGCAAGUCGAACGCGCAGCAUUCUGUAGCAAUACAGGGUGUGGGCGCGUGGCGAACGGGUGCGUGACACGUGGAUAACCUUCCUUCGGGUGGGGAAUAACCCAGUGAAAAUUGGGCUAAUACCGCAUAACAUCGCGAUGGCACAUGCCGUUGCGUUCAAAGGCGCAAGUCGCCAGAAGAGGGAUCCGCGGCCGAUUAGCUUGUUGGCGGGGUAACGGCCCACCAAGGCUUUGAUCGGUAGCCGGCCUGAGAGGGUGUCCGGCCACACUGGGACUGAGAUACGGCCCAGACUCCUACGGGAGGCAGCAGUGGGGAAUAUUGCACAAUGGGCGCAAGCCUGAUGCAGCGACGCCGCGUGAGGGAUGACGGCCUUCGGGUUGUAAACCUCUUCAGUAUCGACGAAGCGCAAGUGACGGUAGGUACAGAGAAGCACCGGCACUACGUGCCAGCAGCCGA